CCUACGGGGCGCAGCAGUGGGGAAUAUUGGGCAAUGGGCGCAAGCCUGACCCAGCAAUGCCGCGUGAAGGAAGAAGGCUUUCGGGUUGUAAACUUCUUUGACAGGGGAAGAGCAGAAGACGGUACCCUGAACCCCAGCCACGGCUAACUACGUGCCAGCAGCCGCGGUAAUACGUAGGUGGCAAGCGUUGUCCGGAUUUACUGGGUGUAAAGGGCGGGUAGCCGGGAAGGCAAGUCAGAUGUGAAAUCUGGAGGCUCAACCUCCAAAUUGCAUUUGAAACUGUUUUUCUUGAGUACUGGAGAGGGAGACGGAAUUCCGGGUGUAGCGGGGAAAUGCGUAGAUAUAAGGAGGAACACCAGUGGCGAAGGCGGUCUGCUGGACAGCAACGGACGGUGAGGCGCGAAAGCGUGGGGAGCAAACAGGAUUAGAUACCCCUGUAGUC
rnacentral:rRNA from 1 species